rnacentral:rRNA from 1 species
UACGUAGGGUGCGAGCGUUGUCCGGAAUUACUGGGCGUAAAGGGCGCGUAGGCGGCCUACUAAGUCGGACGUGAAAUCCCUCGGCUCAACCUGGAGACGCCACUCGAUACUGCUAUGGCUAGAGUCCGGUAGGGGACCACGGAAUUCCUGGUGUAGCGGUGAAAUGCGCAGAUAUCAGGAGGAACACCGGUGGCGAAGGCGGUGGUCUGGGCCGGCACUGACGCUGAGGAGCGAAAGCGUGGGUAGCAAACGGG